GUUUUGGUCAAUUUUGGCCGGUUUUAUACUCAUCCUUGUGAGAAAAUACGUUAAGGGGCUUUAAUUGGCCGAAAAAAGUUGAAAAAUAAAAACUCACUACUGGCAGAAUUUUCCAAUAAGGAGGAUUUGUCGGCUCACCUUUGCGGUUGGGUAUUUUUCUUCGGUUUACCUGUAGAAAACAGAACGGUAAGUACAAUUGUAGAAAAAUUGCACCAAACAGAAAUCGGGAAGGGCCUCAUCGGAGGCAGUUUUUGAUUUUUUCUACGGCAGUGCCGCCGGACAUUACUCGCAGUUUUCGGCCCAUUCGCUGGUCCUUUGGCUCCAAUUUGGUCAUGGAGGUAUUCAAAAUCAAAUUUCGAGAGACUAGAAGAAUUUUUACCUCUUUCUGGCGGUCGGAGGUGGCUCCAGCGUGGCAGCGGGUGUAGUUGGUUCCUUUCUCGGGGACUGGUUCUUCUUCUUUGACUGGGAUUGGGGGUGGGCUGGCAGCUAGGGUUAGGGUUUGGUGUGAAGUGAGGUAUUUAUAUCUAUCU
rnacentral:lncRNA from 1 species